AAAUUACUCCCUCCGUCCCAAAAUUCUUGUCUUAGAUUUGUCUAGAUACGGAUGUAUCAAGUCACAUUUUAGUAUUAGAUACAUCCGUAUCUAGACAAAUCUAANUGUAUCAAGUCACAUUUUAGUAUUAGAUACAUCCGUAUCUAGACAAAUCUAAGACAAGAAAUUUGGGACAGAGGGAGUAGUUG
rnacentral:pre_miRNA from 1 species